UGGGGAAUUUUGGACAAUGGGCGAAAGCCUGAUCCAGCAAUGCCGCGUGUGUGAAGAAGGCCUUCGGGUUGUAAAGCACUUUUGUCCGGAAAGAAAUCCUUGGCUCUAAUACAGUCGGGGGAUGACGGUACCGGAAGAAUAAGCACCGGCUAACUACGUGCCAGCAGCCGCGGUAAUACGUAGGGUGCAAGCGUUAAUCGGAAUUACUGGGCGUAAAGCGUGCGCAGGCGGUUUGCUAAGACCGAUGUGAAAUCCCCGGGCUCAACCUGGGAACUGCAUUGGUGACUGGCAGGCUAGAGUAUGGCAGAGGGGGGUAGAAUUCCACGUGUAGCAGUGAAAUGCGUAGAGAUGUGGAGGAAUACCGAUGGCGAAGGCAGCCCCCUGGGGCCAAUACUGACGCUCAUGCACGAAAGCGUGGGGAGCAAACAGGAUUAGAUACCCUGGUAGUCCACGCCCUAAACGAUGUCAACUAGUUGUUGGGGAUUCAUUUCCUUAGUAACGUAGCUAACGCGUGAAGUUGACCGCCUGGGGAGUACGGUCGCAAGAUUAAAACUUAAAGGAAUUGACGGGGU
rnacentral:rRNA from 1 species